rnacentral:rRNA from 1 species
GGAUGAACGCUGGCGGCGUGCCUAAUACAUGCAAGUCGAGCGAACAGACGAGGAGCUUGCUCCUCUGACGUUCGCGGCGGACGGGUGAGUAACACGUGGAUAACCUACCUAUAAGACUGGGAUAACUUCGGGAAACCGGAGCUAAUACCGGAUAAUAUAUUGAACCGCAUGGUUCAAUAGUGAAAGACGGUUUUGCUGUCACUUAUAGAUGGAUCCGCGCCGCAUUAGCUAGUUGGUAAGGUAACGGCUUACCAAGGCGACGAUGCGUAGCCGACCUGAGAGGGUGAUCGGCCACACUGGAACUGAGACACGGUCCAGACUCCUACGGGAGGCAGCAGUAGGGAAUCUUCCGCAAUGGGCGAAAGCCUGACGGAGCAACGCCGCGUGAGUGAUGAAGGUCUUCGGAUCGUAAAACUCUGUUAUUAGGGAAGAACAAAUGUGUAAGUAACUAUGCACGUCUUGACGGUACCUAAUCAGAAAGCCACGGCUAACUACGUG